rnacentral:lncRNA from 1 species
CUGGGCUUUUUCUGGCUUUGAUGAGGUAAGGUGCUGUAUUGUGAGAGGGUCUGUGAGAUCACAAGGUCAGGAGCUGAGAUCCAGUCCUGGCCAACAUCCAGCAAGAGAGCAGGAUCUCGGUCCAACAGCAGUAUGGAAUGGAACUUAAUUCUGACAACCACUUAGGUUGGUGGAAAACUUCGAACUUUAGUAAGAAAUGCAGCCCCACUGAUAUCUCAUUUGCAGCCUGUGAGACCCUUAGCAGAGGACCCAGCUAAAUUGUGCCUGGUCUCCUGAUUCACAGAAAUAUUAUGAAAAAGUAUGAUUUUAAGCAACUACAUUUAUGGUAACUUAUUACACAGCAAUAAAAAACAAAUGUAAUAAUUUAUUCAGAAGUUUUAUAUACCACUGAUUCUAAUAGAACCAUACAGACACUUUCUAGGAUCUAGGCUUAGGUAGAUAUAUUCCUGGGGCUCUUUCAAUUCUGAAACUUUGGGCUCAGGAGCUAUUUCCAAUAAUGAUUAAAAAAAAGUGAAAGAAGACACUACAAAAUGAAGAGAAAGGCAGAGAAGGGUAAAAAUAAAUGCAGAAACCAAAAAGAGUAUCCCAAAGAACAGAGCAAGUUACAUGUAAAGUUCAGCAUCAGCAGUCUGGAAAUACCCAAAAGCGCCUCAUUGUCUGCACAGCAUGAAGCCUUCCCCUGACCUAAAUGGAUCAAGAAAAAUCAAAACUGCAAAUAUUUUUUUCAGAGCCAACUAUCUACUGGAUUUUGCUAAGAAAUUUGGUAAUUAAAAAUAUUCUUUAAGCUAUAGCCUUUACUUUCAAAGAGCCUGCAAUCUAAAUAUGAUCAAAGUUUACUGAAGUAUACACUGACACAUAACACCACUUGUUUUUC